GACGUUUCAAGGAAACCGACCGGAUACGUUUAACCUACUUUUGUGAGGACACGGUGUGGGUAGUUUUGAUUGGAUCUAUGUUGUGACGUCAUGAAUGAAGAGGUCACGUAUGUGGCUGUAAACAUUUGGACCAUAUUUCCAUGUUUGAGGGGAGAAAGAUUUCCUCAUCUUACUCACGAGUACAUGCAUAUGGAUCACCAGAAUUCCCUUGAUGCCAAGCAUAACUGCACCUCAAGAGCAUCUCGGACUAUAACAUAUCUUCAGAUUUCUUGGAAUAUUUUGUGGUCAAGCAUUACAUUGCCUAUGAAAGAACAAUUCUUGUUGUGUAUACAGGUGUAAACAUAUUAAAGUUCUAUCUGAACAUUUUGCUGAAGUACUGGUUCUGUAAAUGAUGUCUGUGACCAUCAGAAUACACCAUAUACACUGGACACUUGCUGGAACAGGACCUACUUGUCAUCAACAUGGUGUUGCAGAACAUCUUGGGACUCUCUCAUAACGUCCAGUGUGAAUCUAGAUACUGACACCAGUAACAGUGCAUGCUGGCACAUUUAUUUGUUCAGGCUUGGCAUUUGGGAAUAUUUGCCAUGAAUGUUUAAUACUCAUGACCUUGGAAUAAAAUUACUGAAUAGA